GAUGAACGCUAGCUACAGGCUUAACACAUGCAAGUCGAGGGGCAUCACAGUGUAGCAAUACGACGGGUGGCGACCGGCGCACGGGUGCGUAACACGUAUCCAAUCUGCCCGUUACUCGGGGAUAGCCUUCUGAAACGGAAGAUUAAUACCCGAUGGCAUGUAUUUCCGGCAUCGGAGAUACAUUAAAGAUUUAUCGGUAACGGAUGAGGAUGCGUACGAUUAGCUGGUUGGCGGGGUAACGGCCCACCAAGGCUACGAUCGUUAGGGGUUCUGAGAGGAAGGUCCCCCACACUGGAACUGAGACACGGUCCAGACUCCUACGGGAGGCAGCAGUGAGGAAUAUUGGUCAAUGGUCGAGAGACUGAACCAGCCAAGUAGCGUGAAGGAUGACUGCCCUACGGGUUGUAAACUUCUUUUGUUUGGGAAUAAAUGAUACUACGUGUAGUAUUUUGCAUGUACCUUACGAAUAAGCAUCGGCUAAUUCCGUG
rnacentral:rRNA from 1 species